rnacentral:rRNA from 1 species
CCUACGGGUGACAGCAGUGAGGAAUAUUGGUCAAUGGGCGAGAGCCUGAACCAGCCAAGCCGCGUGAAGGAUGAAGGAUCUAUGGUUUGUAAACUCCUUUUAUAUGGGAAUAACGUGAGGAACGUGUUCCUUUUUGUAUGUACCAUAUGAAUAAGCAUCGGCUAACUCCGUGCCAGCAGCCGCGGUAAUACGGAGGAUGCGAGCGUUAUCCGGAUUUAUUGGGUUUAAAGGGUGCGUAGGUGGUUAAUUAAGUCAGCGGUGAAAGUUUGUGGCUCAACCAUAAAAUUGCCGUUGAAACUGGUUGACUUGAGUAUAUUUGAGGUAGGCGGAAUGCGUGGUGUAGCGGUGAAAUGCAUAGAUAUCACGCAGAACUCCGAUUGCGAAGGCAGCUUGCUAAACUAUAACUGACACUGAAGCACGAAAGCGUGGGGAGCAAACAGGAUUAGAUACCCGGGUAGUC